GUAUUGUUCAACUUUUGGAGCAAUUCAAUUAUUUUGUUUUCUGGGAUUUGAAUUUGCAUUUUUUCUGUGUCAAUUGUUAUACAUAGAUAUGUUAUUAGUGUGCUUGGCCCUUCAGUUUUGUCCUCAGCUAGUGAACCCCUAAUUCAACGCAUUCAUUGCAAAACGUUCUCAUUAAUUUCCGACAGUUGUCGGUAUUGUCCG
rnacentral:lncRNA from 1 species